GGCCGGCUGCUGUCUUUCUGCGGAGCGGUGGGGUGGACGACCCUACUGACAUCCGGGCCACACAGGUCAUGGUGUCGCCACACUACAGUGAAGGGAAGAAGAAUGUCAACACAGAGCAGCCUGAUGAAUCAUGGGAAAAAUCCCAGAAUGCUGGGAAGACAGCAGUGAGGUUUAGAAAGCAAGCUGGCGCAGGUGACGGGCGAUCAAUAUUGCCUGCCUUUUUGCCCAGGAGCUCGGUGGAUCAGGACGAAGGCCACUCCAUCAGCCUGUGGAGCGUUUCAUUAGAGCAGGGAAACUCCAGGGCCAGUCGUGGGGCCAGCACGAGGACGAGCGCAGCGCGAUGUGAUCACACAGACCCCCUGCCAGACUGGGACCCGGCCUGCCAACUGGAGCUGCAGAAAACAGCAGGACAGCCUGCCACACCGUCAUGUACUGAAACUGAAGGUUCCCAUUUCCCAUCAGAGUCCCAUUGUGCACAGAACCUCCUAAAAGCUGGUUUCAGGAAACGACUGUGA
rnacentral:lncRNA from 1 species